GGACCCGCACAAGUAGUGGAGCAUGUGGUUUAAUUCGAAGAUACGCGCAGAACCUUACCAACACUUGACAUGUUCGUCGCGACUUUAAGAGAUUAAAGUUUUCGGUUCGGCCGGACGAAACACAGGUGCUGCAUGGCUGUCGUCAGCUCGUGUCGUGAGAUGUUGGGUUAAGUCCCGCAACGAGCGCAACCCUCACUUUUAGUUGCCAUCAUUAAGUUGGGCACUCUGAAAGAACUGCCAGUGAUAAGCUGGAGGAAGGUGGGGAUGACGUCAAGUCCUCAUGGCCCUUACGUGUUGGGCUACACACGUGCUACAAUGGUUAGGACAAAGAGUCGCGAGUUCGCAAGAACCAGCUAAUCUCGUAAACCUAGCCUAAGUUCAGAUUGUAGGCUGCAACUCGCCUACAUGAAGUUGGAAUCGCUAGUAAUCG
rnacentral:rRNA from 1 species